CUAGAGUCUUGUAGAGGGGGGUAGAAUUCCAGGUGUAGCGGUGAAAUGCGUAGAGAUCUGGAGGAAUACCGGUGGCGAAGGCGGCCCCCUGGACAAAGACUGACGCUCAGGUGCGAAAGCGUGGGGAGCAAACAGGAUUAGAUACCCUGGUAGUCCACGCCGUAAACGAUGUCGAUUUGGAGGCUGUGUCCUUGAGACGUGGCUUCCGGAGCUAACGCGUUAAAUCGACCGCCUGGGGAGUACGGCCGCAAGGUUAAAACUCAAAUGAAUUGACGGGGGCCCGCACAAGCGGUGGAGCAUGUGGUUUAAUUCGAUGCAACGCGAAGAACCUUACCUGGCCUUGACAUGUCUGG
rnacentral:rRNA from 1 species